UACGUAGGGGGCAAGCGUUGUCCGGAAUCAUUGGGCGUAAAGAGCGUGUAGGCGGCCAGAUAAGUCCGCUGUGAAAUCUCGAGGCUCAACUUCGAGCUGUCGGUGGAAACUGUCUGGCUAGAGUCCGGAAGAGGAGAAUGGAAUUCCUGGUGUAGCGGUGAAAAUGCGCAGAUAUCGGGAGGAACACCUAUGGCGAAGGCAGCUCGCUGGGACGUUACUGACGCUGAGACGCGAAAAGCGUGGGG
rnacentral:rRNA from 1 species